GUGGGGAAUAUUGCACAAUGGGGGAAACCCUGAUGCAGCGACGCCGCGUGAAGGAAGAAGUAUCUCGGUAUGUAAACUUCUAUCAGCAGGGAAGAUAGUGACGGUACCUGACUAAGAAGCCCCGGCUAACUACGUGCCAGCAGCCGCGGUAAUACGUAGGGGGCAAGCGUUAUCCGGAUUUACUGGGUGUAAAGGGAGCGUAGACGGACUGGCAAGUCUGAUGUGAAAGGCGGGGGCUCAACCCCUGGACUGCAUUGGAAACUGUUAGUCUUGAGUGCCGGAGAGGUAAGCGGAAUUCCUAGUGUAGCGGUGAAAUGCGUAGAUAUUAGGAGGAACACCAGUGGCGAAGGCGGCUUACUGGACGGUAACUGACGUUGAGGCUCGAAAGCGUGGGGAGCAAACAGGAUUAGAUACCCCUGUAGUCC
rnacentral:rRNA from 1 species